rnacentral:rRNA from 1 species
UUGGAGGGCAAGUCUGGUGCCAGCAGCCGCGGUAAUUCCAGCUCCAAUAGCGUAUAUUAAAGUUGUUGCAGUUAAAAAGCUCGUAGUUGAAUUUCGAGAUCAAUUUGUCGGUCGUGCCUCGGUACGUACUGGCAUUAUUGAUUUCUCCCUUCUGAAGAACCGCGAUGUCAUUAAUUUGGUGUCGUGGGGAAUCAGGACUGUUACUUUGAAAAAAUUAGAGUGUUUAAAGCAGGCGCACGCUUGAAUACAUUAGCAUGGAAUAAUGAAAUAGGACGUUUGAUUCUAUUUUGUUGGUUUCUAGGAUCGACGUAAUGAUUAAUAGGGAUAGUUGGGGGCAUUAGUAUUCAAUUGUCAGAGGUGAAAUUCUUGGAUUUAUUGAAGACUAACUACUGCGAAAGCAUUUGCCAAGGAUGUUUUCAUUAAUCAAGAACGAAAGUUAGGGGAUCGAAGACGAUCAGAUACCGUCGUAGUCUUAACCAUAAACUAUGCCGACUAGGGAUCGGAUGAUGUUAAUUUUUUAAUGACUCAUUCGGCGCCUUACGGGAAACCAAAGUGUUUGGGUUC